AAGCUCUGAAAGGCGCUUCUUCCUCCCUGAUGAGUGCGUGUAAGAAAACACUAGCGAGGUGCCAUCGCCUGCCCUCCUGGGCAGCAAUGCACUCGGGCGCUGGGAAAUUCUCCACAGGGAAAGACUUGCAGAAUAUAAUUAAGACCCACUCCGUCCAGGUGUCCCGCCAGAAGUGAGGCUGGCUCGCGUCCGGAUCCCAUCGCCCUGCAGCGCUGAGCCCACCCAGUGUGAGGCUGCGGAAGGGGAGGAGAAGCGCGCAUGUGCUCAGCCCGGUACCGCGCUUGUCUCCCUGUCGUGAUUCAGCUUUGUGCGCAGUGCCUUUGACCCGUGGCCUCGCACCCGAGAGCGAAGGGAAGCAGUGUUUGGUAAGAAGAUCUCGUGAAAAGAAAAGCGAGUUACACAUACAGAGCCUUAAGUGAUUUCUCUCCCAGCAUCUUCUCGCGCACCAUCUCCGCUCGUUUCUACUGCACGACAGGAAUAAUAUUCCACCGUGUAUCCAUUCUCCUGCUGACGGGCGUCUAGGCAGCUGCCGUAGUUGAUUACUGAGAACUGUGCCGCAGGGAACAUGGAAACGCAGGUAUCUUCAGCACGCUCUCCGUGAUUCUUUGGGAAAAAGCGGAAGAGGCGCAGUUAUAUCAGAAGGAGCCUCAGUCACUGUCCCAUGCUGGGAUGAAAUAGUUGGUGCCCACAACUGGUUUAUUUCAGUUCACAAAUGUUAGAGGAUUCUUGGCUGACACGGCAUGGAGGAACGGUCGGCUGCAGGGGAAAUCUGCUCAUCUCAGAGCAGCCAGGGAGCAGGGAGAGGAGCGAGGAGCCAGGGCGUGAGCUGUGCCUUCCAGGUCACCAGGACGAGGACCUGCCUCUUCACACCAGGCUGCACCCUAGCAGCAGGCCCAGCUCUGGGUCCACCCCCAGAUUAACCUGCCGAUGGUCAUGGUGCCCCGAUCUGUCGUCUUCUAAAAGCCCUGCCUCUGCACACAAGAGACUUUGGGGGACUUUCUAGAUCUACAACACCACUAAUAGUUGUCUCUCUGCUUAGAUUCCCGAAGGUCCUGCAUGCUGAUCUCCACAGUGGAGUACUAACUUACCUCCCCCUGACAGUAUAGAGGGGACCCUUCCCCUUUGCACCUUGCCAGGAAACAAACUAUUCUUACGUUGUAGUUUUCCUUUGCCCUCAAUCUCUACAUUGGGUAUAAACUGAAGCUGGUAGUUCUUUCUGCCUCUGCAUUGGUUAUGGAGCCAGCCCCAAAGGCUCUGCCAUGGUGUGAUUAGCUUAGUCUCAGAGUAGGCCUUGCAGCUCACUCCCAGCCGACUCCUCAACUUCUGACUUUGGUUUACAUAAUUAUUGAUUAUCGAUUUUUGUGAUCUAGCCAAAGCCAGGAGCCUGUCCUGCUUCCGUCCUUCUAGUGUGUGUGUGUGUGUGUGUGUGUGUGUGUGUGUGUGUGUGUGCGCCCGCAUGUGCACAGCUACCCACUGCCUUACCAGCAGGUCUGGACCUUUUACGUGACUCGUAAUCUCCUUUUCGCUUGGGUCUCCUUAGCUCCCAGAUGACUUCUGGUUGCCUUCAGUGUACUUCUCCACCUUUUCCUGUGUGACACUGUGCCCGGAAUGCACUGGCUCUCUGCAUUUUGAAGAAACUUCUACUCAGACUUUCACUCUUUAAGACUCAGAACACGAUUCUCACCUGGGAAGCUUGCUAUGAGUGUCAGGGAGAAACCAAAGUUCCCCUUUGCCUGCGUGUGGCUGUGCGCACAAAGUUUUUCUGGCACUCAUCAAACUAAGAAAAUUACUUGUUUGCAUGACCCAGUUGGGGUCAUGCCACCCCUAAUUAUUGCCUGAUGCUUGUCAAAUAAGUAGAUUUUACAAACUAGGAAAGACAGAGAGACAGAGAGAGAGAGAGAGAGAGAGAGAGAGAGAGAGAGAACUAAGGAAAUGAAGGAUGUUAAUGGAAUGAAACUUUGGAGACAGACGUGUUCUAAUUCUAGCUCCUCUGGAUUUGUGUUUUUGCCUGUGGAAUGAAUCCCUUCCAUCAGGGAGACUUUGUGAUGUGGUGUUGAUGAUUUGUGAUUGUAGGAAAUUCCAGUGUUUUCUCAUUUUCUUAUUCAUUGAGGCCAGAAAUGAAUCCAGGAUCUCCUGACUUCAAGUCCGUGUCUAUUUAAUAGGCUUAUUUUUUCCCAAGCAAAGGCUGAGAUGAACUAGAAAGAGAAGAGGAACUCUGGGCCUUUGAGCUGACCCUCCAAGGUACAGGCUGUGGCCUGCUGUGCAGCUGUCCCGCCGGCCCCGGGUUCCCGGUGUGGAUGGAGAGUGCCGACCUCGCUGGCAGUCACACCGAUGUCCCUGUCCCACUGCUUCCUCCUCCGAUGCUGGGGGCAGGCAUUGAGCAUGAGUAACGAAACAUUUUCUACAUGUUCUCGCCAAGCCUGUGGGUCAGAACGUGGUAGGCACAGCACUAUAAGACUCCAGUCUGAUCUAGUGGGGACAUUUAAAUGCCAAGACUGUGCAUGAUGUCAACAGCAAGAUAAACUCUCUGCCAUUUUUGGCUUAUGGUGCUCUCUGAAGCCUCCAUUCUGUUCCUUUCUAACAGAUCUAUCCUGGGCUUCUGGUGUAUUUGAACUUGGCUUUCUGGUCUCUGCAGACAGCAGGAAGGAAGCAUUUGCCAAGAUCCUUGGAAUGCUCAGCUCUUUCACAGUGAGCUCUUGUGUACCACAGUCCUGUGAGUGAUCAGUUGUCUUUUAUAUUCUCUCAGGCCUAGUGCCAGUGACUCAGGUGCAUAUGCCAACAAGGGUAUCUACGUUCAGAGGGGAAAUCAACCAUAACUGGGGACCCAUGUGGACACACAGUGCUCGUGGAUCUUUUUUUUCUCAUUGCCUACUGCAAAGGAAGUGUUAACUCAUUUUGGCCCUCCCACUGUCUUCCAGGGGCUUGUUCAGCAAAGUGUCGGGACACUUGGGGAAUCCUUGGUGCUUUUGGGAAGUAGGCUAUAGUGGAACACUCUCUGAUCCUAAUUACAUCAAUAUUUCCCUUUCUGCUCUUGGAGUGUAAUAAGUGUAAAACUAAAUCUUUGUGGAAUGAGUGGAUCUUCGCUCCUCCUCAGUGAGCAGCUGCACUGCCAGGUGUGUUGCCUGUAGAGUGACCCUCGUUCAUCUCGCUGUGCACAGAUCUCGCACUCUGUGAGCCACCUUCAUUCCCAGACUUUGGAGCGAGCCAGCUGGGAUGCAAUUAUGUACUCUAGCCUUGUAUCUCAGGCUACUUCCUUAGCCUCUCAGGUACGGCAGCCUCUUAUUUCUCUAGGUAUCGAUUAUGGGGCUCAUUGUGUAGAUUGAACAACUAAAUAUUCACCAUAGAUGGUUGUCCACGGUUCUAGAAAGAUAGAUUCUUAAAACAAGGGCACCAAGGCAAGAGAAGGCAGGUUCAUUCUGGUGUUGGGAAAUCGGGGCUCAUGGUGUGUGAGCAGAGCCGUGAUCUUGAGGAUACCGGGUGACACAGUCCCCCGAACUGGUGAGGUGACCUGUGCAUCCUGUUAUCUGUCACACCACGAUAGCUCUUGUUCUACCUCUGCAGUGCAGGGCAGAGAAAUAGCAGCACUGGAGCACACUCAGAAGAAGGGGUCAGAGUCGGUGAGUCUCGGUCAGCUCUGUGCACUGUAGAAUAAAUACUGUUGAGUGGGUGCUUAAGUUGCCAAGGUUUUCUUUUCAACAUUCUGGAGGAGUGCAUGGGUGUCACGAUGCCAACACACUUGGGGUGUGGAGGAGCACUCUGUCCUGGUUGUGUCCCUACACGGUCUUUCCUUGGUGCCUGCACACAGGAACCAAGUUCCAGUCACGCCAUCUUCCCGUGAGGACAUGCCUGUCAUCAUAGGCACCGCAUGCUCACUGCUCUAACAUGUCACUGGGGAUCGGGGCUUGAGCACACGGACUCCAGGAGGACACAGCAAGUGACUCGGACAGCACAUGACGAGGCCCAUUCACGCCCUGCAGCUCAUGGUGCCCUUGGGGGAAAAGGGCUUAGGGCUGGAGAGAGAGCUGUGUGGGUACAGCAGAGGACCGUGUCUGCAGCAGGACGAGCCCCAGGCGGCAUGCG